rnacentral:snRNA from 1 species
UUACUUACCAGGCGGGGGAGAUACCAUGAUCACGAGGGUGGUUUUCCCAGGGCAAGGCUUAUCCACUGAGUUCUGGACGUGCUUACCCCUGUGAUUUCUCCCAAUGCGGGAAACUCAACUGCAUAGUUUGGGGGGCGGCGGGGAUUGUGUUUGCUCUUUCCCCUG